UACGGAGGGUGCAAGCGUUAUCCGGAAUCACUGGGCUUAAAGGGCGCGUAGGCGGGUUUCAAGUCAGGGGUGAAAUACUCCAGCUCAACUGGAGAAGUGCUUUUGAUACUGGAAAUCUCGAGUGAGGUAGGGGCAUGUGGAACUUCCGGUGGAGCGGUGAAAUGCGUAGAUAUCGGAAGGAACGCCGGUGGCGAAAGCGACGUGCUGGACCUCUUCUGACGCUGAGGCGCGAAAGCGUGGGGAGCGAACAGG
rnacentral:rRNA from 1 species